rnacentral:lncRNA from 1 species
GCGGGGGACGCGCGCUAUCACGGAGAGCGAACGCUCGGCGGAAAGCACACGCGACCGUUACCUGCUACAACUUGCACGCCACUUUUGUUUUGGCGCACCCGUGCAUCUUUUGUGUCCAGGGCAGAUAUAUUUUCAAUAGUGUUAUGAAGAUUUUGUGCAAUUAAAAAUUAAUCCGCAUAAUUACACGCACAAUAAACAUCAGGCCUGAAACUUUACAGACUGCUGAGCAUCUUUUGAAGUGCGAAGCAGGGCACAUUUUGGAACGGAAAUAAAGAGUUCAAUGGUGGCUAAGCAGCCAUAUUUUUCAACAGUUGUGUGCGCAUGCACCAAUCAAACUUAAGGUAAGCAUGCUAGUCUUGACUGUUUUGUUGACUGUCUCUUUUUAUUUCCUAUGUAGUAAUUUUACUCUCACGGAACCACAAGGCCUGCUGGCUUCCAUUGUUUUUGUCUAAUUAAGCAAUUUUGCUCUUUCACGGAACCACAAGGCCUGCUGGCUUCCAUUGUUU